AUUGAACGCUGGCGGCAGGCCUAACACAUGCCAGUCGAGCGGAUGAAGGGAGCUUGCUCCUGGAUUCAGCGGCGGACGGGUGAGUAAUGCCUAGGAAUCUGCCUGGUAGUGGGGGAUAACGUCCGGAAACGGGCGCUAAUACCGCAUACGUCCUGAGGGAGAAAGUGGGGGAUCUUCGGACCUCACGCUAUCAGAUGAGCCUAGGUCGGAUUAGCUAGUUGGUGGGGUAAAGGCCUACCAAGGCGACGAUCCGUAACUGGUCUGAGAGGAUGAUCAGCCACACUGGAACUGAGACACGGUCUAGACUCCUACGGGAGGCAGCAGUGGGGAAUAUUGGACAAUGGGCGAAAGCCUGAUCCAGCCAUGCCGCGUGUGUGAAGAAGGUCUUCGGAUUGUAAAGCACUUUAAGUUGGGAGGAAGGGCAGUAAGUUAAUACCUUGCUGUUUUGACGUUACCAACAGAAUAAGCACCGGCUAACUUCGUG
rnacentral:rRNA from 1 species